AGGGGGGAGGAUUACAGUGUUUCAUGUUAUGACUAUCAGUGCACUCACAAAACUGUCAAAAACUGUUGAGUCUCUAGUGAGUGCAUUAAGGUGGUGUGUCAGAUAAUGAGUGUAAAAGACGAUUUUGAAGGAUAAUAUGGAAGAGAGUGAAAAUAGUGGGGCGCUUAGCAAACCUAUUGUGCAUUUUGUGAUACAAGCACCAAAUUUGACACAUAUGUACAUUAGCAUAUUGCAAACAUUUUCAGAUAUUGGGCCACUCGGAUUUCUCUCUUAAUGUCCGCCAUAUUGGAUUUCAAAAUGGCCGCCAAUUGAAAUCUAAAUUUGCUAUUAUCUCUGCAUCAAAUGCUGCUAUUGACUUCAUUUUGGUGUUUAAAUGUAUUUUUUGGGGAGGGGGGGUCAAGGAAUCAAACGGUAACAAUCUGCAUUGCGUUAGAUCAUACCCACUAUGCUAGGUGGAUACCAGUGCACCUGAAGAACAUCGCCGAACUCACUACCAAACACCCAGACGUAGCCGGGAAAUUCAGUGAAGGCCAUUUCAGAGUUGAGAAAACUCAGAGGGUGUUCUCUUCAAUCCCGAUUGACCAGGCACAUUAGCAGAAUAAUGCCUACAUCAAAGGAAACGGCGGCGCAGUUGGGCUCACUGACAAUCCUAAAGCCCUUCGUCGCUGGGUGGUUGCAAGACCAGAAAUUGCUAGGGUGGUCGAAGAAUUCCAGGACGGGAACCAAUACUGGAGACGGCAAACAGCAGACACACGUCACAUGAUCAGACGCCAAGUGUACAGGCCUCAUUUGUGAAAGAUGUUCGCCCUCUCGUCGGUGUCAUAGAGGAGAUGAGCACCCCAUUCGAGGAGGAGAGUCAUACUGGACUCAAAGGACAUCGCAGGUCCUGCUGCCGUGGAGACGGGGAUGAAUACCAAGAGGAUUGACCAAAAACAGUCCGAGGCUUUCACCAGAGAAUGUCUGUUGGACAGAACAAAGGCGGUGGACGACCCCAUUCCUUGUAACAAGCUGAAGGUGUUUAGAUUCUAACACUUCCACUCCCAGAAACAAGAGCAUAUGUUAGCAACAGCUCGCCUCCGUCAAAAAUGAUCGUGAACUCGUCGCACGCCUGUACAUUGGCUGGCAGACGAGGGAUGGAAACCUUGAGGAGUUCUUUCGUCACGACAACCAGGCAUGUCCUCCUGUACUGUCUGCAGGUGGGAACUUCUUCACUUGUACCAAGAAUGAUCUCAUCACAUGCUAGGAAGAAGUCUCCGACCCCAGGAGGAAACUCUUCACAAGGAAGAACGAUGUGCAGCUGAUCCCCCC